rnacentral:lncRNA from 1 species
AUUGAUUAAACCCUGGUAGAGCAUUACACUUAUCAGCUGUAUCACUUAUCUUCUGUUUGGCAUUCAAAGCACUUCAUGACCUAGCCUAUUUCUACCUUUCUAGUCUUCUUAUAGCUUAUUCUCUCCAGUGCUCCUGGUCUCCUUGCAGUUCCUCUAACAAGACACUCCAUUUCUCAGAUCUGGGCAUUUUUACUGGCUGUCCCCCAAGCCUGUAGUGCUUUUACUCCUCAUCUCUACCUCCUGGCUUCCAUAGCUUCCUUCAAGUUCCAGGAUGGGACGAUAGAAGAAAUUCUCUGCUUUAGGUUCAUUUAUGUUUGGGAAUCCAUGCCCUUCCCUGGGACUGUUUAUUUCUCUCUGAAGCUAGUAUCAGUGUCCAAUGAGGUCAAUGAUGUCAAAAGCAGGCGGUGGAAGUGAAUUUGCUUGCACAGAUCAUUGAAAUUCAUCUGGCCAACAAAAGAAAAGAAGAUGUAGAUCUAUGUGCAAAUUGGUAAGUGGAGACCAAUUUGCAACAGGGAACAGGAGAAGAUGGUACAAAGCAAGUGUUUUAAAAUGUUAAAUGUUUGUUUAUAUAACCAGAAAAAUCAAUAAUUAAUGACUGAAUCAAUGCUUAAAAUGUGAUUUUUAGAAAUUAAAAAAUGCAACAAUGUGAUUUAUAGUAAGAAUUUAAUUCCAGACAAAAAGUCUACGCUUUGUAACCAGAUUAGAAAUGUAGACCUAGGGUAAUAACUGAGUUAUAAUUUCAAAUUUCUGGAUUACUAUAGUAUCUUUAAUUGUGU